AGUGAACGCUGGCGGUAGGCCUAACACAUGCAAGUCGAACGGCAGCACAGUAAGAGCUUGCUCUUACGGGUGGCGAGUGGCGGACGGGUGAGGAAUACAUCGGAAUCUACUUUUUCGUGGGGGAUAACGUAGGGAAACUUACGCUAAUACCGCAUACGACCUACGGGUGAAAGCAGGGGAUCUUCGGACCUUGCGCGAUUGAAUGAGCCGAUGUCGGACUAGCUAGUUGGCGGGGUAAAGGCCCACCAAGGCGACGAUCCGUAGCUGGUCUGAGAGGAUGAUCAGCCACACUGGAACUGAGACACGGUCCAGACUCCUACGGGAGGCAGCAGUGGGGAAUAUUGGACAAUGGGCGCAAGCCUGAUCCAGCCAUACCGCGUGGGUGAAGAAGGCCUUCGGGUUGUAAAGCCCUUUUGUUGGGAAAGAAAAGCGGCAGGUUAAUACCCCGCUGUUCUGACGGUACCCAAAGAAUAAGCACCGGCUAACUUCGUG
rnacentral:rRNA from 1 species